ensembl:lncRNA
AGAUAGAGCAACAUGCAGAACAGAGAAAAUGCUUCGAACCCUCCUAGGAGACAACACUUCUACCUUAAUGAAGUCCAUUAUGGAACUCUCCUUUCAGUAUGGGAAGGCACUUUCAAAACUUAUCUAGCAAUGAAAAUGUAACUCUCACAUGAAGAAUAAAAGUUGUGACAAGCUGGCUACAGAUAGAGAUGACAAGUUUUUGCCUGCUGCAGGCAGCUCAGAAAACAUUCUGAAGUGUACUGGACUCACAAGGAGUUAAUGGAUUUCAAUCAGGGCCCAGUGAAAUCAAGUGCAACUGAAAAUGCAUUAGCUGUACCAUCCUCAUGUAUUUAUGAGAAGGCAAUACAGCAUGCUGCUCUGAAAAUAAUCUUCAUCAUUCCUUGAGACUCCUACAUGAACCUCUUCUUCACGUUUUCCAGUGUCUUACAUCCCUGCUGGAGCUAAGUGACAAAGAAAGAAGGCUAAGAGGAGGAAGAAGCAGCAUUGGAAGACAGUGGUGAUUAGAACGAGCUUUUGUGAAGAAAAGAAAAUCUGAUGGAACUAGUUGAUAACAGGAAGAGAAGGAUAAGGAAGUGAAAUAUUUUCUGCCCAUGCAGCACUGAAUUAGGGCAGCAUCACUGUUGGUAUGAAUACACAAGCAUUUUGUUCAGCUUUAACUGCUGCUGCUCCCUAACCUUAUAAGACGAUGACAUCUCAUUGGUCCUUCUGUCAGUGGUGUGAGACUACUAACUCAGAUCAAAAGGAAAUAAUGCUGGAGACAGAAAGGGG